rnacentral:sRNA from 1 species
CAUGCCCCUUAUACGCUGGGCUACACACGUGCUACAAUGGGUAGAACAGAGAGUCGCAAAGCUGUGAAGUGGAGCUAAUCUCAGAAAACUAUUCUUAGUUCGGAUUGUACUCUGCAACUCGAGUACAUGAAGUUGGAAUCGCUAGUAAUCGCGAAUCAGCAAUGUCGCGGUGAACACGUUCUCGGGUCUUGUACACACCGCCCGUCACACCACGAGAGUUGGUUGCACCUGAAGUAGCAGGCCUAACCGUAAGGAGGGAUGCUCCGAGGGUGUGAUUAGCGAUUGGGGUGAAGUCGUAACAAGGUAUCCGUACGGGAACGUGCGGAUGGAUCACCUCCUUUCUAAGGAGUAUAAGUCUUUCUCUAUUCUAUUGGUAAUGUUCUUUACAUUACUUCUGAACAUUGGAAACUAUAUAGUAGAACAAACAAGAAAAAAAUUAACUCUAACAAUUUCUUAGAGUUAGAUGUCAAAAAAUAGGUUAAAAUAAUUAAGGGCACACAAAGGAUGCCUAGGUAGUAAGAGCCGAUGAAGGACGUGGUAAGCUGCGAUAAGCCUAG